rnacentral:rRNA from 1 species
GAUGAAGUGCUUGCACUUCUGACGUUAGCGGCGAACGGGUGAGUAACACGUAAGGAAUCUACCUAUAAGCGGGGGAUAACAUUCGGAAACGGGUGCUAAUACCGCAUAAUAUCUUCUUCCGCAUGGAAGAAGAUUGAAAGACGGCUCUGCUGUCACUUAUAGAUGACCUUGCGGUGCAUUAGUUAGUUGGUGGGGUAACGGCCUACCAAGACGAUGAUGCAUAGCCGACCUGAGAGGGUGAUCGGCCACAUUGGGACUGAGACACGGCCCAAACUCCUACGGGAGGCAGCAGUAGGGAAUCUUCCGCAAUGGGCGAAAGCCUGACGGAGCAAUGCCGCGUGAGUGAAGAAGGCCUUCGGGUCGUAAAACUCUGUUAUAAGAGAAGAACAAAUUGUAGAGUAACUGCUACAGUCUUGACGGUAUCUUAUCAGAAAGCCACGGCUAACUACGUGCCAGCAGCCGCGGUAAUACGUAGGUGGCAAGCGUUGUCCGGAUUUAUUGGGCGUAAAGGGAGCGCAGGUGGUUUCUUAAGUCUGAUGUGAAAGCCCACGGCUUAACCGUGGAGGGUCAUUGGAAACUGGGAAACUUGAGUACAGAAGAGGAAUGUGGAACUCCAUGUGUAGCGGUGGAAUGCGUAGAUAUAUGGAAGAACACCAGUGGCGAAGGCGACAUUCUGGUCUGUUACUGACACUGAGGCUCGAAGCGUGGGGAGCAAACAGGAUUAGAUACCCUGGUAGUCCACGCCGUAAACGAUGAGUGCUAGGUGUUGGAGGGUUUCCGCCCUUCAGUGCCGCAGUUAACGCAUUAAGCACUCCGCCUGGGGAGUACGACCGCAAGGUUGAGACUCAAAGGAAUUGACGGGGAACUCGCACAAGC